rnacentral:pre_miRNA from 1 species
UCCUCAGUUCACGCGCUCUCUCACCGGUCAGAGCGAGAGAGUGUGUGAAAUGAGGAGA